rnacentral:rRNA from 1 species
GACGAACGCUGGCGGCGUGCUUAACACAUGCAAGUCGAACGAUGAAGCCGGAGCUUGCUCCGGUGGAUUAGUGGCGAACGGGUGAGUAACACGUGAGCAAUCUGCCCUUGACUCUGGGAUAACUGCGGGAAACUGUAGCUAAUACCGGAUACGACACCUUGGGGCAUCCCAGGGUGUGGAAAGAAUUUCGGUCAAGGAUGAGCUCGCGGCCUAUCAGCUAGUUGGUGAGGUAAUGGCUCACCAAGGCGACGACGGGUAGCCGGCCUGAGAGGGUGACCGGCCACACUGGAACUGAGACACGGUCCAGACUCCUACGGGAGGCAGCAGUGGGGAAUAUUGCACAAUGGGCGAAAGCCUGAUGCAGGGACGCCGCGUGAGGGAUGAAGGCCUUCGGGUUGUAAACCUCUUUUAGCAGGGAAGAAGCGAAAGUGACGGUGCCUGCAGAAAAAGCACCGGCUAACUACGUGCCAGCAGCCGCAGUAA